CUUUUACUUUCUUGUUUUAAAAUCUUUUGUUUACAUUUUUAACUUUGUUUCUUUUUGUUUUUGAGUCAGUAUAGAGGUUUUAGCAAGCCCUCCUAAUCCCCGGUUUAGAACGAUCCCUACUUACAUACUUUGCUACAAUUGUCAAAAAGAGGGUUUAAUUUGUGUGUCAAGUAAUUCUCGCAUCAAAUGGGCUGUGACAAUAACUAAUUGGAUCGUUAUCGGGUCACACGAUAAAAACCCGUUAAUAACAGGUCCUUAACAAGUUUACACGAAAGUGACAAGUAGGUAACCUGUUUUGACACGUUAAGAAAAAAGUUAUUUUGAUGAUUUUAAUUUUUUAAACUAAAAAAAAUUUACUAUAAAUACAAUAGUCAUAGUGUAUAUGUAUAUAUUAUAUAUUAAAUAUGUUUUUACCAA
rnacentral:lncRNA from 1 species